UACGUAGGGUGCGAGCGUUGUCCGGAAUUAUUGGGCGUAAAGAGCCCGCAGGCGGCUUGGCAAGUUUGAGGUGAAAUCUCCCGGCUUAACUGGGAGGGGGCCUCGAAAACUGCCAGGCUUGAGGCAUGGAGAGGGAUGCGGAAUUCCCGGUGUAGUGGUGAAAUGCGUAGAUAUCGGGAGGAACACCAGUGGCGAAGGCGGCAUCCUGGCCAUGUCCUGACGCUCAGGGGCGAAAGCGUGGGGAGCAAACCGG
rnacentral:rRNA from 1 species